GGGGGUGCAGCUCAGUGGUAGAGCAUGUGCCUAGCAUGCAUGAGGCCCUGGGCUCCAUCCCCAGCACACACA
rnacentral:tRNA from 1 species